rnacentral:rRNA from 1 species
CCAUGCAAGUCGAGCGGCAGCACGGGUACUUGUACCUGGUGGCGAGCGGCGGACGGGUGAGUAAUGCCUAGGAAUCUGCCUGGUAGUGGGGGAUAACGCUCGGAAACGGACGCUAAUACCGCAUACGUCCUACGGGAGAAAGCAGGGGACCUUCGGGCCUUGCGCUAUCAGAUGAGCCUAGGUCGGAUUAGCUAGUUGGUGAGGUAAUGGCUCACCAAGGCGACGAUCCGUAACUGGUCUGAGAGGAUGAUCAGUCACACUGGAACUGAGACACGGUCCAGACUCCUACGGGAGGCAGCAGUGGGGAAUAUUGGACAAUGGGCGAAAGCCUGAUCCAGCCAUGCCGCGUGUGUGAAGAAGGUCUUCGGAUUGUAAAGCACUUUAAGUUGGGAGGAAGGGCAUUUACCUAAUACGUAAGUGUUUUGACGUUACCGACAGAAUAAGCACCGGCUAACUCUGUGCCAGCAGCCGCGGUAAUACAGAGGGUGCAAGCGUUAAUCGGAAUUACUGGGCGUAAAGCGCGCGUAGGUGGUUCGUUAAGUUGGAUGUGAAAUCCCCGGGCUCAACCUGGGAACUGCAUUCAAAACUGUCGAGCUAGAGUAUGGUAGAGGGUGGUGGAAUUUCCUGUGUAGCGGUGAAAUGCGUAGAUAUAGGAAGGAACACCAGUGGCGAAGGCGACCACCUGGACUGAUACUGACACUGAGGUGCGAAAGCGUGGGGAGCAAACAGGAUUAGAUACCCUGGUAGUCCACGCCGUAAACGAUGUCAACUAGCCGUUGGGAGCCUUGAGCUCUUAGUGGCGCAGCUAACGCAUUAAGUUGACCGCCUGGGGAGUACGGCCGCAAGGUUAAAACUCAAAUGAAUUGACGGGGGCCCGCACAAGCGGUGGAACAUGUGGUUUAAUUCGAAGCAACGCGAAGAACCUUACCAGGCCUUGACUUCAAUGAACUUUCCGAAAUGGAUUGGUGCCUUCGGGACAUUGAGACAGUGCUGCUGGCUGUCUCAGCU